GUGUCAGGAUGGCUGCCACAGCUCCUGUUUCUGCCUCCCUGGCUGCUCCCGAACCCCGUGCCCAGGACCGAGCACAGCGUCGGACCCGAGCGCACACAGGACCAGAACCGCCUGUCCUGGYUACCUCCCCGCCCUCCGCCCCAGCUGCUGCUCUUAACCCACCUCGCUCCUGUCCCCUAGGAGGACGCCAUCKCCCCCAAGCAGUGCAGGUUUGUAGGGAGGUCGGAAUGAAUUGAUCCCAGAAGCCUCGUCAGCUAACGAGCCUCAGUCCACACUGYAACCUGUUCCCUCCGAGUUUUCCUCCACCCUGGCCCCCACACCCGCACGCCGCUGCCCUCUAAACUCAGGAGUGGAGGCCUCAUGCAGCCCCCGGCCACAGCCAGCGAUUGUCUCGCUCCCGGGAGAGCUCGGGGUCAGGGGAAGGGGCUUCCUUCUGCCUGCUGUGUAGACGAGAACUCUGAGCCACAUAGAGUCUCCAGUGAGGGGUUAAACGCACUGUGUGUGGGUCCAAGCCUGGCCGCCGGUCAUCGUGCCRAGCGGCUUCUCUGCUGUGGGGUGACUGCGCAGCCCCAGGAAGGCGCCCGGUGGCUAGAGCCUGGAGGUGGCAGAGCCCUGGCUGAUCUGAGUUCCCAAGCAUCUUCAGGGAGGGCUGAGCAGCUCAGUGGUAGGCGCUGGUCUAACACGCAGG
rnacentral:lncRNA from 1 species